rnacentral:lncRNA from 1 species
UGUGAAACACUUCUUUGGGGCCUCAUAAACAACCACAGAACCACAAGUUGGGUACGGUGGCAGUCACACAAGACUGGGUCCGGGAUAUUGGUCAGCAGGCAGGGCAAAUCACACUGUCUGCAAACCACAGAGUUUCGUAGAGCGGUGAAAGAGAUCAUAUAGUCACCCAACUUUAAGAAAAGACUACAUAGGAAGGAGAAAACCAUGGCUUCGGACAGCAUGUUUGAGUCAUUUCCUUCAUACUCACAGUGCUUCAUGAGAGAGACAACCAGAUCCAGGGAUUUGGGCAGGGAUACAAAGUGAAGAUGGAAC